rnacentral:rRNA from 1 species
GACGAACGCUGGCGGCGUGCUUAACACAUGCAAGUCGAACGGAAAGGCCCUGCUUUUGUGGGGUGCUCGAGUGGCGAACGGGUGAGUAACACGUGAGUAACCUGCCCUUGACUUUGGGAUAACUUCAGGAAACUGGGGCUAAUACCGGAUAGGAGCUCCUGCUGCAUGGGGGGGGUUGGAAAGAUUCGGCGGUUGGGGAUGGACUCGCGGCUUAUCAGCUUGUUGGUGGGGUAGUGGCUUACCAAGGCUUUGACGGGUAGCCGGCCUGGGAGGGUGACCGGCCACCUUGGGCCUGCGAUACGGCCCAGACUCCUACGGGAGGCAGCAGUGGGGAAUAUUGCACAAUGGGCGGAAGCCUGAUGCAGCAACGCCGCGUGCGGGAUGACGGCCUUCGGGUUGUAAACCGCUUUCGCCUGUGACGAAGCGUGAGUGACGGUAAUGGGUAAAGAAGCACCGGCUAACUACGUG